GACGAACGCUGGCGGCGUGCUUAACACAUGCAAGUCGUACGGUAAGGCCCUUUCGGGGGUCCACGAGUGGCGAACGGGUGAGUAACACGUGAGUAACCUGCCCACAACUUUGGGAUAACGCUAGGAAACUGGUGCUAAUACUGGAUAUGUGCUCCUGCUGCAUGGUGGGGGUUGGAAAGCUCCGGCGGUUGUGGAUGGACUCGCGGCCUAUCAGCUUGUUGGUGGGGUAGUGGCCUACCAAGGCGGCGACGGGUAGCCGGCCUGAGAGGGUGACCGGCCACAUUGGGACUGAGAUACGGCCCAGACUCCUACGGGAGGCAGCAGUGGGGAAUAUUGCACAAUGGGCGCAAGCCGGAUGCAGCAACGCCGCGUGCGGGAGGACGGCCUUCGGGUUGUAAACCGCUUUCAGCAGGGACGAAGCUUUUUGUGACGGUACCUGCAGAAGAAGCACCGGCUAACUACGUG
rnacentral:rRNA from 1 species